rnacentral:rRNA from 1 species
CGGAGGGUGCAAGCGUUAUCCGGAUUCACUGGGUUUAAAGGGUGCGUAGGUGGGUUAGUAAGUCAGUGGUGAAAUCCCCGAGCUUAACUUGGGAACUGCCAUUGAUACUAUUAAUCUUGAAUACCGUGGAGGUCAGCGGAAUAUGUCAUGUAGCGGUGAAAUGCUUAGAUAUGACAUAGAACACCAAUUGCGAAGGCAGCUGGCUACGCGAAUAUUGACACUGAUGCGCGAAAGCGUGGGGAUCAAACAGGAUUAGAUACCCUGGUAGUCCACGCCCUAAACUAUGGAUACUCGACAUCAGCGAUACACUGUUGGUGUCUGAGCGAAAGCAUUGAGUAUCCCACCUGGGAAGUACGAUCGCAAGAUUG